GCGCCGGCUCCAAGGGUAGCUGGCGAGUCUACACUGCGCCGGCGGCGGGCGGGGGAGGCUGGCCCCAUCUCUCGGCUUCCUUCCCGGACCUACCCCAGGCUGGACACCCUGCGUUUGAACUUGGCCUUCCCGCAAUCUGGCCAGGAAGACCUUUACCAAUCUCCUCAAACUCCUAAAACGACUCAGCAUCAGGGACAAUCCCAACUGCUUGAUAAGAAGAAAUGAGGACUUUUCUCGACUUUCUCCCUCUCAAAACAAACUCACCUGCAGCCAUACAGAAUGACAGCUGUUCUGUUUCAUUUUGAGUCUUGGAGUAUUAGUCUAAACUGAAAAUGCCAAAAAUAACAAGCGGUACGUCUGUGUGACCUGGUAGGAAAGCUGAGGCCCAGGUGGCCCCAGCUUCCUUUCAGUCAUUUCUUCAGCGAUGUACUUGUGAUACAG